rnacentral:rRNA from 1 species
AUUGAACGCUGGCGGCAGGCUUAACACAUGCAAGUCGAGCGGGGUGAUGGUGCUUGCACUAUCACUUAGCGGCGGACGGGUGAGUAAUGCUUAGGAAUCUGCCUAUUAGUGGGGGACAACAUCUCGAACGGGAUGCUAAUACCGCAUACGUCCUACGGGAGAAAGCAGGGGAUCACUUGUGACCUUGCGCUAAUAGAUGAGCCUAAGUCGGAUUAGCUAGUUGGUGGGGUAAAGGCCUACCAAGGCGACGAUCUGUAGCGGGUCUGAGAGGAUGAUCCGCCACACUGGGACUGAGACACGGCCCAGACUCCUACGGGAGGCAGCAGUGGGGAAUAUUGGACAAUGGGGGGAACCCUGAUCCAGCCAUGCCGCGUGUGUGAAGAAGGCCUUAUGGUUGUAAAGCACUUUAAGCGAGGAGGAGGCUCUUUUGGUUAAUACCCAAGGUGAGUGGACGUUACUCGCAGAAUAAGCACCGGCUAACUCUGUGCCAGCCGCCGCUGUAA